GGCUGCUGGGCUGCUGGGCUGGGCCCACCCAUCCCUGCAGUCCCUGGGAAUAGACAACCCUAGGAUCCAGUGAGCCCUGGGCUCUAACCUGGCCACAGACACUUCUGUCCUGGGCCACCCUGGCCUGGACAGAAAUGCCUCAGUCUAAAGCCAGUUUCCCCUAAAUUCCUCCCCAGAGCCGAGAAGCAGCACUAGGCAGAGGGAGGAGCUCAUCCCAGGGGUCCAGGACCUGGCCUCCAGCUGCUGCCAACCCUCCCUGGUGUGUGGCCUUCUGCCUCUCCCAGUCUGUUUCCUCACCUGUGAAGCAAGAAUAAGGCACCGCUAGGCUGUCUCAGGGCUGCCAGGGGGACCCUUGGGGUACAAGCCACCAGGCGGAUGGUUACCUCAGGCUAGGACCUCACCUGGCGCUCAGGGAAGAGACCACUGGCCUUAGCCUUCAGUAGCACUGCCCACUCGGGCCACAUGCGCUAGGUGGCUUGCAGUCUGCACGCCCCUGUCCCUCCUAUGUGCCCGUCUUACUGUGUGUCUUCUGCCAAGGGCAAAGCUCUCUGCCUGGUCUUCGAAGUUCACUCUAUGCCAGUCAUUCCUGCCACAGAGAAAUCAGCCACAAACCUGCUCAGUGAGCCUGACGCGUGUCCCCGUGUGUCCUCCGGAUCUGACCCCCUCAGAGCUUAGUGACCAGGAGGAGGACGUGCCUGGGCCUCCCUGAGCAGAAAGACAUGCAAACAGCCUGCCACCACCCAGCGUUUUAAACACGCUGCCUUGUACGUCCAGGCUGGACGGUAGCACUCCACAUCCUGAGAGGGAUCAGGCCCUGUGACCAUCUUUCCUCUGGUGCUUUGUGGGUAGAGAGUUAUUUAAAGGAAGUCUCACGAAAUUUUCACCAUUCCCGAGAGAUUUGUGAUGUCUACGGCAAGUGACUCAUUCUCUGUGUUCUGCUUUGUUUUUUAACAAUAAUCAUCCAGUAGUCAGGCCCAGGACUGGUCCCAUGAACCUUGUGAGCCAUGGCCCCAGCAGUGCUUCUGGCUUUCAUGGAUUCCACUGCAGAGAAAAUAAAAUCAUUGACAACGAGUGUACCCUGCACAGUGCCUUUAGGAAGGGGCAGGGUGGGGGCAUUGCUAGGCUUGGAGGAGGCAGGCCAGGGUGCUGGGCAGGG
rnacentral:lncRNA from 1 species